ACACACACACACACACACACACACACACACACACACACAGAGACACAGAGUUGUGGUGUUUGCAUGUGUGUGCUGUGUCACUGCUGCACACACUUUAAGAGCUGUAGUGCUGAUCAGAGUGUGUUCAGUCCUUUCAGAGCCACUGACACGCAGCACAAUGAUGAUGGUACUGAUUCUACUGCUGGGGACACUGGGACUCCUCGCUCACCAGUCCUUUGGGGAAAUCGUCCUGACUCAGUCUCCAGGAUCUCAGUCUGUUUCUCCAGGACAAUCUGUUACUCUCACCUGUACAGCCAGUCAGAGUGUUGGCAGUGCCCUCGCCUGGUACCUGCAGAAACCUGGAGAAGCUCCUAAACUCCUGAUCUAUUCUGCAUCUACUCGUCAGUCUGGGAUUUCAGAUCGUUUCAGUGGCAGUGGAUCUGGUUCACAAUUUAAUCUAAAAAUCUCUGGAGUUCAGUCUGAAGAUGCAGGAGAUUAUUACUGUCAGCAGUAUAGCAGCUAUCCAUACACACAGUGUUAUAGCGCCGUACAAAAACCUCCCUCAGCUGUAGAGGAAGUGCUCUGACUCAGAAACACACACUGAUCUGAGAACAGCUGCAGAGCUGCUAAAGCUGCACUCCACUGAACAUCAUCAACUCAAACCCACUACAGCACUGAGCACUUUCAUCAUUAUUAGCGCUUUAAUAAUUUACAAUCAAUAGUUAAUU